UACGGACCCUGCCUUAUAUUACUCUUAUACAAUACACUCUCACAAACAAACGAAUUUAACGUUCUUCAACCCACUCUUAGAUUCUUCUUCUUCCUCCCUUCUCCUCUUGCUCUCAAAUUUUCAAAUUUUUGCUCUCAAAUUUUCAAAUUUUCAAUCAUUCCUAUCGCUCUCGAUAUGAUAUCAUCAAGAAUAACAAAAAAUCUGGAUACAGAAACCUUUUAUUUCCUCUCCCACAAAGUACGCGAGUUCUGAAAACCCUAACUACCCAAAUCGAUUUCUGUUCCGAUCCACUCUCAUGAAGCCUUCUCGCGAUGUCUGUUCUGGAAACUGGAUCCACUCUCAUGAAACCUUCUCGCGAUGUCUGUUCUGAAACCUUUUACUACCCAAAUCGAUUUUUGUUCCGAUCAAUCGCGAUGACAGCGUUGUUGUUUUCCCUAUUUUAGAUUUCGAAACCCUAAUUUAAAAUUUCAAUUCUUGAAAAUUUCUCCUAACUUUCUUUCUUCCAUUUCUUCAAAAUUUUAAUUUUUAGAUUUUGAAACCCUAAUUUUUACUUUGGGUUUGAUUUGUUUUUGUUUUAGGCGCCGGAGACGACGUGGCAGCAUCAUUUGUAUGGAGAGAUCAACAUGUGGCUGCGGCGGCGGCGUUUCCUGCCCAAGGUGGUCGUGCUUCCUGCCCAAGGUGGUCGUGCGGCUUCCAUAGAAUCUGGAACCAAGCUCUAUAUAUCUAAUUUGGAUCAUGGUGUUUCCAAUGAUGAUAUAAAGAUAUAUCUAUAAAUGCUGAAAAUCUUUGCAUGAUAAGUUUUGAGAUGGUCAGGAUAAACCAGAGGUUCAACGAGAACAUAAAUAUGAGGUGUUGAUAUUAUUGGGUGAUGCAAGCAGUGCACUUGGACAUAUGAGCAAAGGUGUAGCUGCAUUGUCUAUGGAUAAGUUCAUUCAAAGUCGACAGAGACAGGAAAACAAAUGUGUGGAGGAUUUUGGUGACGUUGUUAGAGAGUGAGGUGGAGCAUUAAUUAUGUUAGGCACCUUUCUUAAUCCCAGAUCAAAGAAAAUGUUAUCUGGCAUAAGUCAACGUCAUGAUGUUCCAGGUUUGUACAUGCUUUUAGCCCUAACUAGUCAUAAUGGAUUUUCUCUAACGCUGUUGUUCUCAUCUGCUGUUAUUGACCAUAAAUUGUUUUCUUCAUCAUGAUUUUAUAUACUUUUUAAUCAGACAUUUGAGUUUCGACUUCCUUUUGGUUUCAAUCUCUCACAUUCCUCCUUUUAUUUUAAUCCAUCUCUCAUCUAAUUAUCUCUGACUUUACUUUUUCUUCGCAUGUCUGAAAUGCUCCUCCUCAUACGAUGAGAAUAAUGUGCUGCUUGCCGUCACCGACGAAGGGUAAAAGGAAACGGGAAGAUAAGCAUGGUCGAGAUUUCCCAAAAAUUAUAAGAGAUAGAAUUUGUUAUCGAAUAAUCAGUGACUAAACCCGUUCCUGGGAGUCAAGGAGAGCAUGGUGUUAUUGGAUCGGCGAGAAGAAUUCCUUUAAAAGAUAUUGCUAACGUUGGUUCUUCAUCUUUAAAAAAAACAGCAAAAUCAUCAGCAACAAGAAGUUCGUUGAAGGCAGGGAAAUAUACAGUACGUAAUGGUACAUUUAUUAAUCGCGCAAGAUGUUCACUAAGAGCUUCGUUUAGGCGGAAUGUGGAAUCUAUCAAACCACGUCAUAUUGCAUUCCAAGUGCUGCUGCAAACAUGGCCAACCAACCUAACUUUGCCCGGGAUACUUGGAAAGAUACAGAUGACUGGAAACGAUAAAGACCAGAGAUAAAUGGCCACUUCUGAUUUGGUUAAUUAGUUGACCAAACCCACUUUUAGGGCCGAUCCUGAUCUCGAACUUAAAUUGAAAAAUAUCAUCAUACAACAACUAGACAUGCUGCUAGUGAUGUUUCUGGACUUGCUGUCAAAUGCCUUGCUCCGUUAGUCAGGAAGAUGAAUGAGCCUUGCACCGUUAGUCAUCAUGCCUAUUGAAAUGUUUCAAAUGACAAUGGAAGUUACACAGAUCCAAUUAAAUGCCCAAGCAGUGGAUGGUGCUGUGAGGAAACAAGCUGAAGAUAACUUGAAACAAUUCCAGAUACCAGCAGCAGCGAAGACACAAUGAUGGUACUGAAGAUGCUGGCCUUGUUGGUCAUAUAUUCAUCUAAAUGAGUUCAAAUUUUGGCGUUCCUCUGGUGGUCUAUUCCAAAGGAAAAACUAUCAAUGCGAAGGAGGUGCUAGCUGCUGGUCCUCGGCCUCAACCUAUAAUGGAAACAGUUUUAAUUACUCUGAUGCAUGUUGGAUUACAUAGUGAGAAGGUGGAGUUAGAGGCUGUUUUUAUGAUAUGCGUGGUUUCUGCUGUUGAUUCUUGUCAAUGGUAAACAAUAUUUCCGUGUCAUUUUAAGAAGCUUCCCUUUAGUGUCUUAUCUUCCGUAACGUGUUUAGAGAAUUGGUCUGCACUGUACUUGACGAUCUUUCUAAGGAGCUUCAGUAUAUGACUAGAACGAAGGUAAUUGUUUUUUAUGUCUUUGUUUAAAUUUUGACCUUGUGCAAUAUCUAUUUGAUUGUAGUUUGGUACUACCAAAUGUCUUUGUUUAUUUAUAGUUAGAUGCAAAUUUAAUUGUAAUUUUGUUUUUUAUAGAACCCAUUUUUAUUAUAGAAAAUUUUAUUGGCAGAUGCUUAUUUGCUUUAUUAUGAUCUCGGACAAUAACUUGAUUUUCAUGCUUUUGUUCCGUAUACAUGUUACUAAGUAUUGAGUGAGAUUUACUGCAAGGUAAUAGCUCAAUUUUGCUUCUAGUACUGCUCUAAUAAAAAGUCUGUUAGUUGCAAAGGCGAUCUGCGAUCCUUAAAUAUAGGACAUGAACAAGCUGCGAGAGAUAUUUUGAAUUCCAUUUGUAAUUUGAUAAAAAAUUUAUGCUUCCGAUUUGAAGAAUUGAAAAUCGUUUUAUUUCUAAAUUUUUAAAAUUAGAAAAUAUUUUCUAAACACUAUUUUCAAACCAGCGAUUAGGGAAAGAGAGGGAGAGAUAAGGCGAGGACGACCGGAAAUGUCUUUGGUUUACAAUAGAGGCUAUUUGUGUGGAUGCGAGUUGGUGACUGCAGUUGGAAAGAGAGAAAUGUCCUGCUACCAUCAAAGGGUGAAAUACACUCUGUGGUGUGAGACAUUAGGUAUUGUGCCUUAUGAGAAUGUUGACAUGGUAAGAUGAAGUGUGGUCAUGCUGACAGGGAUCAUGUCCUUGCAGAGUGGCAAUUGGUGGAGAUGGUAGCUGCGUGUGAUGGUGUGUUCAGAUCUUAUUCUCGACGAAGGAGAUGGAAGAUAGAUGUGUUGCAGAUCUUGUGAUGGAGGGCUGCUGAUCUGGUUGUAGAUCUUGUGGAUGGCUGCCGAUCUGGUUGGAGAUCUUGUGAAAGAAGGAUGCGGUUAGAGAAGAGAAGAAGAGAUUGCGUGUUAUGAUGCAAUAAUUUUAGUUUCGUACUCUAUUUUGUUCGUUGAAUGUCUUCCAAGAAUGCAAUAAUUUUUGCUUUUGCUAGUGUUAUAUUUCUUGUCCUCGUCUAUAAGUUUUCACUUUUCACCUUUUUGUUCCUUUUUCCAGGUGUCCUGGACAUUUUUAUCAUGUACGGUGCAUAUACAACUACCAGCUCUAUCACGGAUUUUUCUAAGAUUUCUUUGGUUUAGCCUUGCUUUAGUUUUGUAACUUUCCUUUAUGUGUAUAUAUUUGCCCAAAAUAAUGAUUUUUAUCUUAUAUCUUCAGGUUUUUGUUGUUUUUUAUUGAUGUGUUGAUGAUGUUUACAUUUACAACUCUUUGUUAUGAUGGCAGAAAAGCACUCCAGGAAGAGAGUAAAAGCGAUUCAAAUUCGGUUAUUUUCAGAUUUUAUGUUAUUGUUGUCGGGAUUUAUGCCGAUGUCCAGUUUUUCAUUAGUUUCCUCAUGCAGAUUCCUGCAUUGUCAUCUUCUGACAAACCAAUGUGAUCGUUGGCCUCUCAUUCGCUUUGUGAAGUGGCCGCGCCAGGAACGACAUUAUGUUGGACGGGGAAUGUAUGAAAGGAGUUUCGAUUUCAUAAAGUAUAUGCUGUUUUGGCUUGUCAUUUUGAGUGCAAAAUUUUUAUUUGCUUACUUUCUUCAGGUACGUGACAUACUCAUAGUUGCCUCCAAAUUGGAAUUAUACUGUUAGAACUGGUAUCUAAAUUAAUUAAAUAUACUGAAUUUACUAGAAUAUUUUAGAUAAUAAAUCUUGAAGCACUGUUCCGAAGAGCAGUGAUUACAUAUAAUGCAGUAGCAGUUCUUCCUCUGGCCAAAACUGACAGAUUCAUUUUCUGACGUAACAAUUACAGAAGUUACACACAAAUGACAGGAAUUUGAGAGCCCGUCCUCUCCCUAACCAACCGGUUUAUACCAAAUAAUGCCUCAAUUAAAACAACAAACUACUAUUUAUAGAGUUACACACACUAAUAAAAACAUAACUGACAUAAUUAAAAUAACUUCUCCUAAUAAUAUAAUAACUGCCAUUAAUUACAUAAUAAAUACGUAAUAAUAUUUACUAAUAAGUGGUCUAACGUAUGCAUCUGUUUGUUCUUGUGUGCCUAUAUGUGGGUGAGUGGAUAAUAUUGCUUGUACCUACUGUGCGUAUGCUUAUAUGCUUGUACACUUGAAUGUUUUAUUUUUGAGGUUUUCAGAUCAAGCCACUUGUGAAACCAACAAGGGACAUAAUAAAAGAGAAAAACUUAGUUUACUCUUGUCAUGAUUUUGUAUCUAAAAGUAAGCGGUGGUCUGUUUAAGUUUGUGGUUAUGUCUUUUUGUUUCCUGUUGAUGCUAUUGGCUACUAAAGUGCCUUUAUUUUUGCUGAUAAUCUCAAUGCUUUGACAAUUGUUAGCAUAUGGUCUCCAGUGGUUUUCGUAAGUGCAUCACUGUUUUGCCUUUUUACCCCCUUGUAUGCUUUAGUUCUACUUUUUUCGUUAAUGAUAGCUUUCUUCUCUCGUGGGGAUGAAAUUGUCUUUCAAGAGGUUGUUGAAGUUUGGUGUGAACUAUGAAGUAGCACAGAUAUUAAUGUGAUAUUUAUGUACGACAUCAUUUAUGAAGCCUUCUAGCAUUUUAUGUUUAUGUUCAUUUGCACUCAAAACAAGCUUUUCUGCUGAAAGCUAUAUCUUGAAAAACAUGUUUAGCUCUUGUAAGUUGUAACUCAAAUACUCAAAUAAAUAGAUUAUUUUAGGAGGUAUUGAACUAAUAUUGAGUUGGAACAUUUUCAGUACUGAUGGUUGUUUUUGUUAUUGAUUUAUCUCAUCCUUUUCACCUUGACUGUUUCUAUUGUGCAGGAGAAUGAGGAUAGAUAUAUUAUACUACCUAGGAGAUGCUGCUCUGUUUUCCUAUAAAUAUAAAUAAAAUACUUUACAUUUUUUUUUUUUUUUUAGCGUUUAUAAUAUAGCUCCAUUACUAAGAUUUUGCAUCUACAAACGGUUCCCCCCGAGAGCCCCUUGAUUGAUUAUUUGGCUUUCGUCAGGCUCACAACGAAAGUUGCGCUCAAGAUGGCUUGUACCUUACACUGUUAGUCAAGUCUUUCUUCAUGGAGCACUUGAAGCUUCUAAAGAAGAUGGCACCACUUUCAUAGUUAAUGGACAACAUGCAAAACAUUACGAGGAAGGGUUGCUCCAAGUGAGAUAUGUCGUUUGCCUCAGUGAUUGAAAGCUUUAUCAGGGAAGUCACUGUUACUCUCUCACUUAUUUACUUCUGUGCCUGGUUGAAUAUUUGACAUUGAAGACCAUGCUCUGAACUAGCACAAUGUGCUAUGUUGACUAUCUUUUUGUAAACUAUCUUCUAAAUGUGAGAUUUGAGCCUCUAUAAGGGGAUACAUUCUAGAACUUGUCUUGUGUUCCACUGAAAUUGAAAUGCAUAAAAUUGCAGGGUAAGGGGACAUAUAAGAAUGAUAAGGCUGGAUUGACACUUGCUGAUCUUGCUUACCGACGUGCAAAAGCAGUGAAGAAUCAUCAAAAGAAAUCUAAUAAAUCUAAUCCUUUGCCAAAACCUUCCUCUUCCAGGCUAGAGGAAAUGCGGGAGCUAUUCCAGAGUGACGUGAAGGAUAAAAAGCCGAAACGGAGAGGUUCUUGAACAGGAAAGAAGGCGAAGAAGUCAUUGAAAAGCAAGUCAAGCUGUAACCAGUGCUGCCAUGCUGAUGGGUUGCAGUUCCCAGGAAUUAAUAACGGCAUUAUCUACCCAUAAAAUCCAACCUUGCGAGCGAGGACACUGUUGCCACAAGUUUGACAUUAUUGCAGGCAAUUGAAACAAGAGAUACAAUUGCCAAAUUUAUUUAUGCAAGCUUGUUUGAAUGGCUUGUACAACAAGUUAACAAGUCACUUGCAGUGGGUGAAAACCAUACAGAGAAAUUCAUUAGUAUCCUUGCUUUUUAUGUGUUUCAGCCAUUCCAGGUAUUCAAUUUGUAUUAAUUUGCUAACAUGGAGAUAAGAGACUCUUGAAGUAAACAAAUUGUGUGCAUUUUUUGGAACAAUGAAAAUGCCAAAAAGAAUUCAUUUUAUCUUCUUUCCAUCACAAUGGUACACUUCAAGAGUCCCACAUCUUAUUAGCAAGUUAAAAUGAACACAUAUUUUGAAAAUGCAAAUAGAAAAUGUUUUCAUUAAGUCAACGGGGCCUUAAAUUUUUUAUUUCAAAAGAAAUAUUUUCAUUGCUUUCAUGAUAAUGAUAUCAAUACAGUAUAGCAUAUUUAAUCAUGUAGGUACUCGUAUGAUAACAUUGUUUUUCCUCGUCAUUCCCCUAAAACUUUACACCCUUCACUAAACCCUCACUUUCAUACUUGCUCAUGCUUGUACCUACUGUGCGUAUGCUUAACAUGCUUGUACACUUGAAUGUUUUAUUUUUGAGGUUUUCAGAUCAAGCCACUUGUGAAAGUCACUGUUACUCUCUCUCACUUAUUUACUUCUGUGCCUGGUUGAAUAUUUUACAUUGAAGACCAUGCUCUCAACUAGUGUGGGGGAGGAUAUUUAUCUUGGAACUUCACUUCUGCUAGUUCUUGUUGAUUGAAUUUUCUGGCUUGUUUUAAUUAAGUUAUAAUAGAGAUUAUGUCUUUGAGGGACCCUUGAAAAUUUUAUUUGAUAGACUUGUUCAAUGUUGAUAAUGGGGUUGUCUUUUGAAAGCUAAUAAUUAGCACAAUGUGCUAUGUUGACUAUCUUUUUGUAAACUAACUUCUAAAUGUGAGAUUUGGGCCUCUAUAAGGGGAUACAUUCUAGAACUUGUCUUGUGUUCCACUGAAAUUGAAAUGCAUAAAAUCGCAGGGUAAGGGGACAUAUAAGAAUGAUAAGGCUGGAUUGACACUUGCUGAUCUUGCUUACCGACGUGCAAAAGCAGUAAAGGCCACCAAGAGGGCACUAGACUCUGGCAAGAUUGUGAAGAAUCAUCAAAAGAAAUCUAAUAAAUCUAAUCCUUUGCCAAAACCUUCCUCUUCCAGGCUAGAGGAAAUGCGGGAGCUAUUCCAGACUGACGUGAAGGAUAAAAAGCCGAAAUGGAGAGGUUCUUGAACAGGAAAGAAGGCGAAGAAGUCAUUGAAAAGCAAGUCAAGCUGUAACCAGUGCUGCCAUGCUGAUCGGUUGCAGUUCCCAGGAAUUAAUAACGGCAUUAUCUACCCAUAAAAUCCAACCUUGCGAGCGAGGACACUGUUGCCACAAGUUUGACAUUAUUGCAGAUAUUCAGGCUGAGGAUUGUGCCGACGUUUAGACUGCUGUUCUAGCGUGGUGUUGAAGUACCUUUUGGUGAGGAGACUUAGCAUAGAUUACUCCUCUUAGUACUAGCUUUUGACUAGAGUUUGUAAAUAGUAAAUGCUCUGGUAAUGUAACAUCGAGUCGGGGUUUUCGCUUGGCUUUCAUCGUAUAUCGGUGUUACCUUUUUGAUAUGCUAGUUCUUGUAUAAGUGACAUCCUUAGGGAUGAAUAUGGCUUAUGUAUAUAUAUAUGUAUAUAUAUGCAUGCUUGGUUUGAUUGGAAUCCGCUGUUGCUUUUCAUGUUAAAUUU